rnacentral:tRNA from 1 species
GUAAGUAUAGUUUAACCAAAACGUUAGAUUGUGAUUCUAAAGACAGGAGUUAAAGCCUCCUUACUAACC